rnacentral:tRNA from 1 species
GUAGUUUACCGGCAAUGGAAUGCGCUGGCCUUGGGGCUGGCUGGACUUUUAAUCUGUAGGUCUCGGGUUCGAGUCCCGACGGGUCCACCA